rnacentral:piRNA from 1 species
UCAUAUGAAAGUAUUUUGUACUCUGCUGGA